AACGAACGCUAGCGGCAUGCCUAACACAUGCAAGUCGAACGAGACCUUCGGGUCUAGUGGCGCACGGGUGCGUAACGCGUGGGAAUCUACCCUCAGGUUCGGAAUAACUCAGAGAAAUUUGAGCUAAUACCGGAUGAUGACGUAAGUCCAAAGAUUUAUCGCCUGAGGAUGAGCCCGCUUAGGAUUAGGUAGUUGGUGAGGUAAAGGCUCACCAAGCCGACGAUCCUUAGCUGGUCUGAGAGGAUGAUCAGCCACACUGGGACUGAGACACGGCCCAGACUCCUACGGGAGGCAGCAGUGGGGAAUAUUGGACAAUGGGCGAAAGCCUGAUCCAGCAAUGCCGCGUGAGUGAUGAAGGCCUUAGGGUUGUAAAGCUCUUUUACCCGGGAUGAUAAUGACAGUACCGGGAGAAUAAGCUCCGGCUAACUCCGUG
rnacentral:rRNA from 1 species